UUCUUUGACACUAGACCAAAACUCGAAAUUAAUAGUUUCUUAAAAGUUAAUUGUCAGGGGAGCGUAUAGCUCACUGGUAGAGUGUUCAGAUUGGAAGAG